CAAUCAGUUUUGAACUGAACUGAAGUGGCCUUAAGAAGGGUGCUUCUUGUGUGAUUGUAUUAGUUUUCUUCAGUGUAAGCAUUAUCUUAAUUUGUUGUAGUAUUUGAUCCUGCGUCCCUAUGAUGAUCACCAAGUGGAUAAGAGUAGUGGACUGAUCACUGUU